CCGCCGUCGGGAGACUCCGACGCGCGGCCCACGCACCGGCCGCCGGGACCGCGCCGAGCCACUGGCGAGACCGACCCGCGACGU
rnacentral:ncRNA from 1 species